rnacentral:rRNA from 1 species
GACGAACGCUGGCGGCAGGCCUAACACAUGCAAGCCGAACGGUAACAGGAAACAGCUUGCUGUUUCGCUGACGAGUGGCGGACGGGUGAGUAAUGUCUGGGAAACUGCCUGAUGGAGGGGGAUAACUACUGGAAACGGUAGCUAAUACCGCAUAACGUCGCAAGACCAAAGAGGGGGACCUUCGGGCCUCUUGCCAUCGGAUGUGCCCAGAUGGGAUUAGCUAGUAGGUGGGGUAACGGCUCACCUAGGCGACGAUCCCUAGCUGGUCUGAGAGGAUGACCAGCCACACUGGAACUGAGACACGGUCCAGACUCCUACGGGAGGCAGCAGUGGGGAAUAUUGCACAAUGGGCGCAAGCCUGAUGCAGCCAUGUCGCGUGUAUGAAGAAGGCCUCCGGGUUGUAAAGUACUUUCAGCGGGGAGGAAGGGAGUAAAGUUAAUACCUUUGCUCAUUGACGUUACCCGCAGAAGAAGCACCGGCUAACUCCGUGCCAGCCGCCGCGGUAA